ACAGACUAUAUGAUAAGAAGAAGAAAAAAAU
rnacentral:sRNA from 1 species